GCUGCGGCGGCUCCCCCGAGGCGGCCGGGGGCAUCCCCGCCGGGGGUUCCCGGGGAGGAGCACGGAGGGAUUCCCGCUGGAGCCUCAUCGCCCCGGGGGAUUUGCAGGCGUUUGGCUGUGCCCGCGUCCCUCGGGGGUGUGUUUUGAGCAGGGGGGGUCCCCCCGCUGUCCCCUGCGGGUGAUGCUGGCGCUCCAUCCUGCCACCCCGAGCCUGGCUGCUCGUGCACCUGCUCAGCUCCCUCACCUCCAGCCCUGUGCCCAGCUGGAAGUCACCACCUGUGCCGAGCCCAAAGCCCCCUCCCCGUCCCCAUCCACAUCCACAUCCAGCGCUUCCAACCCUCCCUUGCACGUGCUGCUCCUUCCAGCAGCUCCCCAGCCAAUAUUCCAUCUCUCCUUAUCUUGCAGGGCUCAGGGCACGGAUUAAAGCUCUUGGAUAAAGGUCACGGGGAACAACUCACUUGCUGCAGGACGCAGAUUGCUCCAGAAGAACCUGGGAGGGAUCAGCUUUGCAAUGAUGAGGCCCCAGCAGUGGCCUCAGACCCUCUCCUGAUGUGAUGAGAGGAUGUUUUUCAACACAGAAAGGCUUUGCAACUGUUUUAAAAAGAAUCCCAAAGCAACCAGGGAGAUGUUUUUGCCUCCUCUGCAUCCCGUGUAUCUGGACAUCCACAAACACACAAAUUCCAUGUUAUGUUGAUGGAUAAAAGGCAGCUCUGCUCCAUCACCAACGAGCUGGAGGCCCCUGCAAUUGUUCCUAAAACUCAACUCAUUCUUACCCACAGACCACGAGAACAGCACAGAGCCCCAGUGACUUCACCAGGGUUUGGCUCUGCUGUGCUGCACAUGAGCCAAAACACCACCAGACCCCGGUGUCUUCCCCCAAAAAGACAGCUCGUGGGCUAAAAACUCCAUUUCAGUGCCUCAGCCAUAUCAAAUCAAGUCAGAUGAGGAAACAGGCAGCCAAAGGGUUUGCAGAAACCACGAGUGUGCUCACCAGAGGCCUCACCUGGCAGUAAAUCUCCCGGAGGAGGCAGGGAGAGGCAGCCAAUGUCAACAAGAGGCACUGGGAAGUGGUGGUGACACCCCUCCAGCAGCAUUUCCCCCUGCAGACAUCAGCCCUUCUCUUUGGAAGGACCACUCCUCUCUGCUGGCAGCGAGGAUCUGACACAGGAUGGCAAGAAAGAGCUGCUGGGACCCUCUGUGUCCAAAAAUCCAACAGAUGGAGCAACAUUUCAGACCUGGAGCCUGACACUGUGCCCCAAAACCCUUGGGAUCCUGAGCAGCAACCACACCCUUAGUGCUGCUGAUACACACAACCCUCCUGCCUCACAGGAGCUGGCAGGGAAGGUGCUCCCAGCCCUAAAAUCCUCUGCCUGUCCCCAACUUUCAUCCCAGAGCCUGUUCUUUCCUCACAUCUGUGAGUCUGUGGUACAGCAAGAAGCCAGCAAGGUCAGCUUACCCCUCCAACAAAAAUAUUAAAGAAUGGAAAAGGAGCAGAAAGGGAACUCCCUGCCAGGGCUGAGAUCCUCCACUCCCCUCACUCCUCCAGAAUGACAUGGCCAUAAAAACAGAGCAUCCCAUCCAGGAUGGAGGGAGAAGGGCCCUCAGGUCCUGAGGCAUGUGGGGAACCAAAUCCAGCCCAUCUCUGACUUGCCACCACUUUAAAAAAGGCUGUUUGUGCAUUUUUAACUACUUUCAAACAGGCUGUUCGUGCCCAGCCCUGUGGGAUGGGGCAGCUUGGUCAGCACAGGCUGCAGGAACCUCUCCAGGCCCAUCCAUUGUGGGAUACACCAUUCCCAUCCCCUCGGGAUCCCAACAGAACGGCCACACCUUCCUAAAGCCACAAAUCUCUUCCCCAGAGCAGGGGGAGCUCAGCCCUGGCUGAGGAGGGGGCUCUGCACGGCAGCCAAGGCCCUGAGUAAAUAAAUAAACCCCAACCUUUGUCCUCCUGACGCUGCUGGCAGCAGGGCAUGGAGUUCACCCACUGCUCCUGAGCUUAUUUAGUGCACACAGGACAACGCCAGGGGAAAAAGAAAUUAAAAAAUAAGAAGGCAGGAGUGUGGGGAGUGCUCUUGUUCCCAGUGCAAAGCAAACACUGGGUUGGAGGAGCUGGAUUUACACUCCCUGAGGGAUCCAAAGGCACCAGGACCAUCCAGGGCAGCAGGAGAGUGAGCCCCAGGCUCAGCACUGGUGAUGGAAGAUGUGCAGAUCCCUCAGGAAUCUCCAUCCUGGACCAUUAUUUCCUUCUACACCCUCGCAAGGGUCUCCUCCAGCUGCAGACCCAAACUUCCCUGCACACACACGGUUUUCCAUGCUCAGGACAUCCAAACCAAGUCCAUCCAGUGCUGGAAAAUCUGACCCCAGCCCUGGUGUGCUGGGAAUUAGGGCUGUCCCACAGAGCUGCAGGGCUGGGCUCACUCAGCAGCUCUGAGCACUGAAAUAUUCUGCUAAACUAAAUUUUCCCCUUGGUGGAGAUGGGUGCAAACUGCAAAUUAAUGGGUGUUUGUCUGAGGGGGUUUCUUCUUUUUUAUCCACUCCUUUCGUGCUCUUUAUGGUAUCUGAUAUUGAGUUAGAAAAGUCCUUGAAGGGAAAUAAAUUCAGAUCAUGAGGUCAUGAAAGACAACAGCUUCUCCUCUCCCACAAAACUCAGAUUUAAGGAUGUCCUCACUUCUCCAUCAAAAAGAAAUUAAAGCUCUUCAGUGCAUUAUGCAGAAGCCAGGGACCAUCCCAGAUAACCUGCUGGAAUUUCAACAGCAAAUCUCUGGAAACAGAGACCUUUGCCCUCAGUCCCUGCUGGGGGUACCCUCCAAAGCUCUUGGCACACCUGUAAAAAAUAUAUUUUUCAGAUGAAACCCAUUCCCACUUCCAGGAAGGACUGACUGAUUUUGCUGGAAGAUCCCAAUCUCUUGCCAGCCCACCUGUGUUUUGGAAGUCCUGCAGCUCACCCCUUUAUCCAGGGAUUUGGCAUCUGGAUUUCCAGAUCACAGGAAACCAGGUGGGAAUUUGUCCUUGGACACGUCAGCCCAGCUGCACACCUGGCACUGGAAGGUCACAGCCACAACUGUGCUGCCAUGUGGGAAUGCCCUGGCCAUAAAAAGGAGGGAGAACUCCUGGAAGCACCAGGAGAUCUCCUCUCUCAGGCACCUCCAGCCCCUUCUCUGGCUGGUAGAGCUGGUGUCCAUGUCCAUGAAAUCCAUGGAGCUUCUGGUUUAAAUGAUUUUUCUGGCUCUGCUGAGAGGGUUCUUCUCUGUUGUGGCUUUGGAAGCAAAUCAAUCACUUUGCCUUCCCUUUACAUCUCUUUACAAAUAAAUCAAAUAAACCUUUUUUUGUUUUUGUUUUUGA